UACGGAGGGUGCGAGCGUUGUCCGGAAUCACUGGGCGUAAAGGGCGCGUAGGCGGCUGGGGAAGUCGGCGGUGAAAGCCCGGAGCUCAACUCCGGGUCGGCCGUCGAGACUCCUCGGCUCGAGCUCACUAGAGGCAGAUGGAAUUCCGGGUGUAGCGGUGGAAUGCGUAGAGAUCCGGAAGAACACCGGUGGCGAGGGCGGUCUGCUGGGGUGAGGCUGACGCUGAUGCGCGACAGCGUGGGGAGCAAACAGG
rnacentral:rRNA from 1 species